UAAUACCGCAUAAGCCCACGGCCCGGCAUCGGGCUGCGGGAAAAGGAUUUAUUCGCUUCAGGAUGGACUCGCGUCCAAUUAGCUAGUUGGUGAGGUAACGGCCCACCAAGGCGACGAUUGGUAGCCGGACUGAGAGGUUGAACGGCCACAUUGGGACUGAGACACGGCCCAGACUCCUACGGGAGGCAGCAGUGGGGGAUAUUGCACAAUGGGGGAAACCCUGAUGCAGCGACGCCGCGUGGAGGAAGAAGGUUUUCGGAUUGUAAACUCCUGUCGUUAGGGACGAUAAUGACGGUACCUAACAAGAAAGCACCGGCUAACUACGUGCCAGCAGCCGCGGUAAAACGUAGGGUGCAAGCGUUGUCCGGAAUUACUGGGUGUAAAGGGAGCGCAGGCGGACCGGCAAGUUGGAAGUGAAAACUAUGGGCUCAACCCAUAAAUUGCUUUCAAAACUGCUGGCCUUGAGUAGUGCAGAGGUAGGUGGAAUUCCCGGUGUAGCGGUGGAAUGCGUAGAUAUCGGGAGGAACACCAGUGGCGAAGGCGACCUACUGGGCACCAACUGACGCUGAGGCUCGAAAGCAUGGGUAGCAAACAGGAUUAGAUACCCUGGUAGUCCAUGCCGUAAACGAUGAUUACUAGGUGUUGGAGGAUUGACCCCUUCAGUGCCGCAGUUAACACAAUAAGUAAUCCACCUGGGGAGUA
rnacentral:rRNA from 1 species